CCUACGGGAGGCUGCAGUAGGGAAUAUUGCUCAAUGGGGGAAACCCUGAAGCAGCCACGCCGCGUGGAGGAUGACGGUCCUCUGAUUGUUAACCCCCUUUUUUAGAGAAGAAAAUGACGGUAUCUAACGAAUAAGCACCGGCUCACUACGUGCCAGCAGCCGCGGGAAUGUGGAGGGUGCAAGCGUUACUCGGAAUCAAUGGGCGUUAAGAGGGCGUAGGCGGGUUAGCAAGUCAGAUGGGAAACCCUAGGGGUUAACCACAGUACUGCAGUUGAAACUGUUAUUCUUGAGUAUGCGAGAGGUAGGUGGAAUUCUUGGUGUAGCGGUGAAAUCCAUAGAGAUCACGCAGAAUACUGAUUGCGAAGGCGGCCUGCUGGAGCAUAACUGACGCUGAUGCGCGAAAGCGUGGGGAGCGAACAGGAUUAGAUACCCCAGUAGUC
rnacentral:rRNA from 1 species